AGGACGAACGCUGGCGGCGUGCUUAACACAUGCAAGUGGAGCGACGAACCAGGGCUUGCCCUGGGGCAGAGCCGCGAACGGGUGAGUAACACGUGGGUUACCUGCCUCGAUGACCGGGACAACCCGAGGAAACUCGGGCUAAUACCGGAUGUGCCCGCAAGGGGAAAGGAAGCUUCGGCCUCCGCAUCGAGAUGGGCCCGCGGCCCAUUAGCUAGUUGGUGGGGUAAAGGCCUACCAAGGCGACGAUGGGCAGCUGGUCUGAGAGGACGAUCAGCCACACUGGGACUGAGACACGGCCCAGACUCCUACGGGAGGCAGCAGUGGGGAAUAUUGGACAAUGGGCGCAAGCCUGAUCCAGCCAUGCCGCGUGGAUGAUGAAGGCCUUAGGGUUGUAAAGUCCUUUUAACGGGAAGAUAAUGACGGUACCCGUAGAAUAAGCCCGGCUAACUUCGUGCCAGCAGCCGC
rnacentral:rRNA from 1 species